UACAGAGGUCCCAAGCGUUACUGAGAAUCACUGGGUUUAAAGGGUGCGUAGGUGGUCCGUUAAGUUUGUUGUGAAAUCCCCGGGCUCAACCCGGGAAUUGCUUCGAAUACUGGCGGACUUGAGGCCUGUAGGGGUCACUGGAACAGACGGUGGAGCGGUGAAAUGCGUAGAUAUCGUCUGGAACGCCUGUGGUGAAGACGGGUGACUGGGCAGGUUCUGACACUGAGGCACGAAAGCGUGGGGAGCGAACGGG
rnacentral:rRNA from 1 species